CCUAACACAUGCAAGUCGAACGGUAACAGGAAACAGCUUGCUGUUUCGCUGACGAGUGGCGGACGGGUGAGUAAUGUCUGGGAAACUGCCUGAUGGAGGGGGAUAACUACUGGAAACGGUAGCUAAUACCGCAUAACGUCGCAAGACCAAAGAGGGGGACCUUCGGGCCUCUUGCCAUCAGAUGUGCCCAGAUGGGAUUAGCUAGUAGGUGGGGUAACGGCUCACCUAGGCGACGAUCCCUAGCUGGUCUGAGAGGAUGACCAGCCACACUGGAACUGAGACACGGUCCAGACUCCUACGGGAGGCAGCAGUGGGGAAUAUUGCACAAUGGGCGCAAGCCUGAUGCAGCCAUGCCGCGUGUAUGAAGAAGGCCUUCGGGUUGUAAAGUACUUUCAGCGGGGAGGAAGGGAGUAAAGUUAAUACCUUUGCUCAUUGACGUUACCCGCAGAAGAAGCACCGGCUAACUCCGUGCCAGCAGCCGCGGUAAUACGGAGGGUGCAAGCGUUAAUCGGAAUUACUGGGCGU
rnacentral:rRNA from 1 species